UAGGCUCUAGGGUGUACGCGUUAUCUUCUUAAGUGUUGCCGAACAGUCUUAUUACAUUGGGAACGUUCAAAGCUAGCGGCAAACAUGCCUUUUUAGUUGGAAGUUUAAAGUUGGUUUUCUAGUUCCCACCUGCUUUAUCGCGGGCCAAAACUAACAGAUAGUCUAACGGCACUAUUAGAGCUUCA
rnacentral:other from 1 species